rnacentral:misc_RNA from 1 species
ACGAAAUAAUAUUUUACACAUGAUCAUACCUAUUUUUCCAAUCCUAUUAUAAAUCUAAAGUCAUAGAAUAUAACACACCAAUACCAAGCUUCUCGUGUUUCUACGAUAACAAAACAAAGCCCACGAUAACGAAACAAGAAAUCACGUCAAACGCACGCUAAAUUACAGCUCCACAGGUUUAAUAACAAUUUCUUAUCCGAGAUCGACGCUAGGUGGCCAUGGUGAGACAAUAAACCUCUUUUACCAUAAACCUGUCGUUUGGACACGUAUUCACGCAGCUGUAUCGCGAUGUAAUUAAUUUGCGUGAUUCACGAUACACUCUAUAAAUGCAUAAUGUCCUCUGCUAAAUGCUCGAAGGUACAUGUGACACACCUGUGCCAGAUCGACUAACAAGCGUCACGGUUUCCGGAAAUAACAAGCUUUUACAAUCGCCAGCUGCCCAUUACAUUUCCACUCGGCGAUUCUUGCAUCGUCUUCAGUCUGCAGCAAAAAAGAAAAAGAGAAGAGAAAUCGUAAUCUGCUAUUCAAAAUAAGCUUUUAAUUAACCAAGAAACUCGUUAAAUCUCAAAUUAUUGAGAUGAUCAAG